rnacentral:lncRNA from 1 species
CGGUCCAUUGCACGCUAUAUAACAAAACGAAAUUGUAAACAAUAUAAGAGUAAACUCCAGUUUUAUCAAACUCUCGUCUGAUAUUGAUUGAGAUGUGAUCGGUCGGUUUUCACGUCUGUUCAUGUGCUUUCUGCCGAAUACACGAAAUUGUGAUUUUCGUAAACAAAGUUUUCGCAUAAUCAGAACAUUUAGUACUGAUAUAAUAACAAACGGAACCAAUGUAAUCAAAAGCGCAAAUAUGCUAUCCAAGAUAAAUGACAGGAAGUCGUGAUCCUUACUUCCGGUACAAUAAUGAAUACCAUCAUGACUCAAAUAAACUCCAC